GUGUGUGUGUCUUGGGCAUGGAGCUGCUCUGUCCAGGGGUGUCGAGUCAGGGUUAGGUGGAAUAGCAAUGCGCGUGUGUGGUUAGUGGGUCGAUAUGCCCACUCUGGAAUUGUUUGCCCCUCUCCUGGCAUCUGGGUGACUUGUGUAAUAACCUGGUUUCUUUUUUCAGGUGUGAACAUGCUGGAUGCACACUGAAGAGUGGCAGAGGAGGGGAGAAGAGCGCUGUAACAAGGCACGAAUCACUGCGUGAACAGGAUAUCCACACCAGAGCAAUCUUAAGUGAGGUGGUGGUCAGGCCUCGGCACGGCAGACCGAAGAAUCCGACUCCGAGCAGCUGAGGAAAAGGGAUGGGCGAGAGGAAGGCAUUUUCAAGGAGGGCUUCGUCGCAGAGGAGGUCGACGCAGGGCGGCACGUCGGCGACUGGCGACGCUCUGUCUCGCGAGGGACGAAGAGCAACCCGGCGGAUGGGGGAGCGUCCCGGUUAAAUGACCUGUUCCCCAUGAGGAGGGAAUCUGG